rnacentral:rRNA from 1 species
GGCAUGAAUGGAACAUACCGCGUGAGGGAUGAAGCAUCGUGGUGUGUAAACCUCUUUUCUUAAGGAAGAAUCAAUGACGGUACUUAAGGAAUAAGCACCGGCUAACUCUGUGCCAGCAGCCGCGGUAAUACAGAGGGUGCAAGCGUUGUCCGGAAUGAUUGGGCGUAAAGCAUCUGUAGGUGGUUUCUAAAGUCAACUGUUAAAUCCCAGAGCUCAACUUUGGCCAAGCAGUUGAGUACUUAGAGACUUGAGUACGGUAGGGGUAGAGGGAAUUCCUUGUUUAGCGGUGAAAUGCAUAGAGAUAAGGAAGAACACCAGUGGCGAAAGCGCUCUACUGGGCCGUAACUGACACUGAGAGAUGAAAGUUAGGG